AUGCGAGGGCCGUGUGGGAGAGAUACUACGUGUUACUCACCCGUCCGCCACUCGUUCCAUGUUGAAUCUCAGUGCAAGCACCGAUCAUCAACGAGAACUCGUUCGACUUGCAUGUAUUAGGCACGCCGCCAGCGUUCAUCCUGAGCCAGGAUCAAACUCUAUGC
rnacentral:rRNA from 1 species